CGAAUAAAUGUGAUUGAAAAACCGCGCCUUAAUGAACUAGGAACUUGGGAGUUAACUCACCGAGUCAAUUCUUUUAGAGUUGACUGAGUCAAGUGAACUGAUUCAUGGCAUUGAGUUGAAAAUCCCAUCACUAAUGUUGGUACAGUUCAAUCCGUGUUCCGUUACCUUCCGCGUUAUCAUCGUAGUUGGUUACAUUGUUAUCAAACA